CGGCACGCUUAAAGCGAGCUACCCGCUGCAGUGGAAACGCGCCAUAGAGGGAACGAACAAGAGUGCUGCAAAUUGAAGCCGGAGGAAACAAAGUUGAUCGAAGUGGAAAAAGUCGAUAUAUAAGAAGUCAGUCCUUUGUGUGAAUGCAGGUGUGGGACAUUCCAAAUGUUCCAAAAGUGAGCACUCCACGAAUGGACAAGUUUGCCAGGACCUCUCAGGCACCCACAACCAGCGUCUG